AUUAGCAUUUCUAGCAACAAUGUAUUUUUAAAUUAAGAUAUUUGAUGUGAUUCACCAGUACAGCCAUAUGAAGAUGAUAUUUUGAUUUUAGGAAUGUUUCAUUACAAAUGCAAUUCCUUCAACAGAGGCUUUUUCACUCCUCAGAAGAAAAAGUGGACACUAUAUGCCCCAAUGCAGCCGCAUUCCUGCUGGUCCCCAAAAGUAUAGUCACAAAAUUAAACAGGAUGGAGUCUCACCAUGUACCCAAGCUGGUCUUAAACUC
rnacentral:lncRNA from 1 species